rnacentral:rRNA from 1 species
CCCUUAGGUGUCCUGGGCCGCACGCGCGCUACACUGAGUGUCUGAGAUACGAGUCUGCCUGGUCCGGCAAGGUCUAGGUAAUCGCUAAAAGACACAUCAUGCUUGGGAUAGAUUAUUGCAAAUAUUAAUCUUGAACGAGGAAUUCCUAGUAAGCGCAAGUCAACAGCUUGCGUUGAUUACGUCCCUGCCCUUUGUACACACCGCCCGUCGCUACUACUGAUUGGAUGUUUAAGCGAGGUUCUCGAACUGCUAGCGACUUAGCUUCGGUGAGGUCGCAGUGUGGGAAGUGAACCGAGCUUUGGUGUCUAGAGGAAGUAAAAGUCGUAACA